rnacentral:lncRNA from 1 species
GCCAGGAUUGAACCUGCGUCCUGAAGCCCUGUUUUAGGAUUUGUUUAAGCCCUGUUUUAGGAGUUGUUUAACCUCCAUAAAAAUGUUUGAUAGAGUUAUAAAAAUAAAAACAUUCCUUCAACUCAAAGCAUUUUGGUGAAGGAAAUGAAAGGCAUUACAGUAAUUUAUGCUUUCUGUGCCUUGUGAAUUUCAGCUUCAUAGUUGAGGAGGCCAUAACAUGCAGUUAAAUUCUGAAUGAGGCCAAUGAUUCAAAGGUUUUCCUACAAAGAAGCCUGUAGUAUGCAAGGAUCCACUUCAAAAGGUAGAGUGGGGUGGGGAGAGGGGAGAGUCCCCCUGCACAGUGACCAUGCUCUGUUCCUGGCGUCUCCCUGAGUAGGGGAUCAAGCCUUGGAUGAAGCCUAGGUUUUAGGUUUAAAAGGAGAGACCAGUGGGAAGGGGAAGAAUGGAGAAAGAGCAAGCUUCUGACAUAUAGGUCAAGAGGUCUAUUUUGGGAGAGAGGUUUGGGGCACCUAAUAAACAGCCACAUGGGGAUGAACUUGCUAUUUGAAUGUACUAGUCUGGAACUAAGCAAGUUACAAAAGAGUAUGUAUAGGCUUUCUUGUGAAAUAACUUGGGAGCCGUCAGCAUAGGGACUGCAUGAGAUAAUGAGGGGAUGAAGGAUCUUAUGGAAGACAGUCUUCCAGGCCUAGAUGGCAGAGGAAACAAAUGCCCUUUAGCAAAAAGGAAGAAGGAAGGCAAAGCAAAACUAAAGUUAAAGCCAAAGUAAAACCUAAUAAAACAAGUGUGAUAGGAGUUCCUGUCGUGGCUCAGUGGUAAACAAUAUGACUAGUAUCCACGAGCAUGUGGGUUCGCUACAUGGCCUGGCUCAGGGGUUAAGGAUCCGGUGUUGCUAUGAGUUGUGGUGUAGGUUACAGAUGUGGCUUGGAUCAAGAGUUGAUGUGGCUGUGGUGUAGGCCAGCAGCUGUAGCUCCAAUUCAACCCCUUGCCUGGGAACUUACAUAUGCCUAUGGUAAGGACCUAAAAAGACAAGUAAAUAAAUAAAAAGUAAAAUAAAAAAAAAAGUCUGAUAAGUAAAGAAUAACUUGAAGUGAAAUCUAAACAGAUGACAAUAUAACAGAGCGAAAUGCAAUAAUAUAAAGGUUUAAAAAUUUUGCUUCACAAAAUAGAAGAUGAAUAUUGCAACAGCAAAUAAAACAGGAGUCCGAAUCCAAAGUUCUAAGUAAUUCAAAUGGGGAGCCAGGAUAGUAAAUACAAACUUUUAUUUCUGUAUGUACAUAUGGAUAUUUUGUACCUUGUGAAUAGGAAAUACAUAGCCUUCUUUUUCCCAAUGGGACAUAAAUUUACAGAAAAUGAUUAGGUAUGUGUCUGAAAAGAAGACACCAAAAUUCCUUGAAGUGAAUGAAGAAAGGAAAAAACAAGAAAAAGAAAGAAAGAAAGAAAGGAGGAAGGAAGGAAAGAAGGAAAGAAGGGAACCAUAAAGUUCUAAGUGCCUGUCAAAAAAUAGUCUUCUGAGAGUGUCUGGUGUGGCAUAUUGGGUUAAGAAUCCAACUGCAGCAGCUCUGGUGCAUGGGAAGGUGAGAGUUUGAUCUAGUACCCUGUGCAAUGCUUUAUAGGAUCCACUGUUAGCAUAACUAUGACACUGCAGCUACAGCUCAGAUACAAUCCCUGGCUGGGGGAACUUCCAUAUGCUGCAGGUGCAGCCAUUAAAAAAAACAAAAAACAAAAGUCUUCUAACUAAACCAAGCAUCAAAAAUGCAAUAAAAAUACAAAGUUCAAGCUAUUUAGACAUAAAUGUAACAAUCAAGAAUGCUUUAUUCCUAACAAAACUGGGAUGAUGCUGAAUUCACAAGAAAAUGUAUAGCUUUAAAUGCUUUUAUUUAAAAAAAAAAAGAAGAUAAUUAACUACUCAACCUAAGGAAUUAAGGAACCUAACAAAAUAAAUUUAAAGAAAAGAAGGAUCAGAAAACAAAAGUAAAGUAAAUUGGCUAGUGACCAAUUUAUAUAUUAGCUGAUUCUAUAAACGUUUACUGAGCAGUGCCUAGGAGCUGUUUUUUGUUGUUGUCUGUUUGGUUUUUGCUACUCCUCUGGAUUCAGUGGAUGUGGCAGGAAAGGAUACACAAUAAUAAAUAGAUCAAAAAACUUAAUAGAUGAAUAACUGAUGUACAUAUUCCAUCCUCAGUGAGAAGGAGCAUAACUCCCUACUCUUUAAGUACAAUAUGGAAACUUUACUUUGCGGAAAAGGGAAAACACUAAUCAGCAACAUUAUCAAGAAGAACAUCAACAGUGAUAAAUCCUGUUGAUAGUGUGUAGCUUUGAUAUGAUGUGGUGAAAAUGGCCCAUCACCACUCUGGGGUUCCUCCCCAAAUGCCAUAACCCCAGUGUCAUCAUGAGAGAAAAAUCAGACAAGUUUCAAGAGAAGAGGAUCCUACAAAUUACCUGACUGGUACUCUGCAAAGUUACCAAAAACAAGGAAAGACUGAGAAACUGUGGUAGCUGAAAGGGGUCCUAAAGAGUCAUGGCAAACAACCAAAGGUCAGUGCAGUAUCCUGGAUGGGAUCUUGCAACAGAAAAAGAACAUUAGGUCAAACUAAGGAAAUGUGAAUCAAGGAUGAUCUUUAGUUAAUAAUAAUACCUUAUUAAUUGAGACCAACUAGAGGAGGAAACUGGAUGUGGAGUAUAUGGGAAUUCUUUGUGCUAGUUUCUCAUGUUUUUCUGUAAAUCUAAAACGGUGCUAACAAAUAAAGUCUAUUGGAAAUUUUAAAAAUAAAUAAGUGAUUUCAGAUAGUGACACAAAUUGUAAAGACUGUUGGAGUUCUCAGUGGCACAGUGAAUUAAGAAUCUGGUGUUGCCACUGCAGUAGCUCAGGUCCCUGCAGUGGUGCGGGUUUGACCAGGGCCCAGGGAACUUCCACAUUCUGUGAGCAUACUCAAACAAGCAAACAAACAAACAAAGGAAUUUAAAACAGGGUAAUACAACAGAUGUGCAUGUGGAGGAAGGGGGAUCAGCAAAGUUUCCUCUGAGGCAUUGAGCUAAGACUCUCAGAAUGAGGGAGGGUACGCCUUGUGAAUAUCUUAGGGUAGAUGUUCCAGACAGAGGGACAACAUCAGAAUAAAAAACCAAGCAAGCAAACAAAGGAGCAAUUACACUGAAAGCUGGUUAUUCAAAAAGACAAACAAAGUAAGCAACACUGGCAUCCUGAGGAAAGAAAAAAAGUGAAAAUACAUAAUACGGAGACAAAGAAAUAAGACAAUGAAUAGGGAAAUAAUUUGAAAAAAUGAGAAGAUUAUGUACAAUUCACUGACAUUGCCUUGGGAACUGAACACUUUUCAAGCAAAAUAUAGAUGACUAAAAGUAAUAAGACUGGAGAAAACAAAAUGAAAAUAUUGCUACAGCCUAUUUUAAAGUAAGCAAAGAAACGGUUGAAUUUCACCAAAUUUUAAGUGAUAAUUAUUAUUUAAUUUAAACUGUCUCAGAAAAAGAAAAAAAGUAAAAAGCUUUAUAAUUAACUGUAUUAUAAAGACAGUGUAAAGACAGUAUAUCCUAAUACUGAAGUCUAAUAGACCUAGCAUAGAAAAAGGAACUCUAAUUUUAUUUAUAAAAGUAAAUGUAUUAAAUAGAACGUUAGCCCAUUGUAUUCAGUCUUAUAAUAAACUAUGACCAAGUAUAGUUUAUUUUAGUUGUAUAAGGAUGAGGCAACCUUAAAAAAAUCUAUCAAUUUAUAUUAACAAAUUAAAAUAAAAAUAUAU